AGAGGGAAGGUUAGCGCAGUGAGUGCUGCUGAAGGUCCUCCGGGCAGUCGUUACCGAUUCCAGGCAUGCCUCAAGCUGGCACAGCGAUGCCUUUCUGGGACACCUUGAAGAACAGAGGACUCAUCUAAGGUGGUCAUAUCUGGAUGCACUGACCUUACUCCUGGCAGAUAGCCACUCUCCUUACUCUGGCUCAACCAUGCUGCCCAUCAGAGAGCAAUGCAAUCUCACGUGGAGGAGAAGCACUACCAUCACACAGCUGGGCUUAAGGGCACUGAGGACCUGGGCAACGAAUGCAUCAACUGACAGUGGCUUCCCAG
ensembl:lncRNA